rnacentral:misc_RNA from 1 species
UUUCCGUAGGUGAACCUGCGGAAGGAUCAUUAUCAUCCUUGGAUUCUCUUUUCACGUACUUCCGUGAUCAGAGCAAUCUAUCUACCAACCGUGAACUGUUUCUCACCUCCGAUUCAUAAGAGCUCCCUCAUUGCUUUUCGUUGGCCCGAGAGGAGAAAACGAGCAGUGGCGGGAAUCGCAGCAGUGUUCUGUUGCGGUAUUAUGGAUUGGUUGUAUCUUUUUGACCUCUCAACAUUUACCUUUUGAACAAAAACCUUUUCAAUCUUUGUAUUGAACUGACUCUUGUGUUUUCUUCCUUUCGUUGAAUAAACGAGGAAAAAACAUAAAAAGUUGUACGAAACAAAACGAACAACUCUUAGCAACGGAUAUCUUGGCUCUC